AUGAAGGGCUUGAAAUUGUCCGCAGCGGAGAGGAAGGGCUUGAAGAUUGGUGAGAAGGAAAAGGGGAAGGUGUUUGACUGGGCUACAGAUGAACCGCAGGCAGUGGGGAAGUUGUUCUCGGAGAAGCUAGCGCAUGCAGGUGUGGUCGGCAAUACACUAGGCAGAAUCUGGUGUCCGAUCAAGGGGUUAGGGUGCAGCGAAUUGAGGGAGAACAUCUUUCUGUUCACCUUCAGGCAACCAGUGGGACGGAGGAGGGCCUUGGAGGAUGGGCCAUGGUGGUUCGAUAAGGAAUUACUAGUGAUUGAGAAAUUUGAUCCGGAAAAAACUUUGGAAGAGUAUGAUUUCAACCUCAUCCCGAUAUGGAUCCGGGUCUAUGGCUUACCUCUUGGAUCCAUGAAUAGAGCUAUGGGGGAGCUGAUAGGGAGUGACUUUCAUGAAGUGCUGGACGUGGAUGUUGGUCAUGAUGGUAGAGCGGUGGGAAAAUUUCUUCGGAUCAAAGUGAAACUCGAUAUAAAUGAACCGCUUAUGAGAGGCUUCACUCUAGACAGGAAUGAUGAACAAAGCCCCAAAGCAUCAAAAGGAGAUGCAAAUGGAGGAGAAGAGAGGAAGAAAAAGAAGAAGCUUGUUUGGUGCCGCUUUGAGUACGAGUACAUGCCAGACUUUUGCUAUACGUGUGGCAUCAUUGGCCAUAGUGAGAAAGACUGCAUUUCCAAGCCCCCUAAGGGGGAGGCACCAUAAUUCGGUCCAUGGAUGCGAGCUGAGGAAGAUAAUAGGAAAGGGGAUGACAACAUUAGGGGAAAGUGGCUGGAUAGUAGAGGAAGUGGCGGAAGCAGGGGUUAUGGUGGAGCUAGGAGCAAUUCUGGGUCAUAUGGAUAUGCAAAGGGUGACCGCCGUCAGUACAACUUUGGGAAAGGUAGGUACUCAAUCAGGCAGUGA
rnacentral:rRNA from 1 species